CACUCAUGAUGACUUGCCAUGCUAAUACCGAGGCACUGAGAGGGUCAACUGGCCCUGAACUCGGGUGUCUGUGAGUUACGUUGCUUCUCACGGGAAGACCUGAGGUGU